rnacentral:lncRNA from 1 species
AUUCCUCAGUGCAAAGGAAGUGGGGACCCAAAGACUGCUGUCUUAAAAGCAAAUAUGAGUGAGGUGAGUGGCUUCUCUCAUCUUCUGCUAAAGCUUGGAUACCAAUAUAUAAUACAGAAUUGGCUGAUAAAAAUGUUUUUUUAAAACAACCUGCAAACAUUUUUUCUGGGAAGUAACUUGUCCUUAUUCUUCUGAUCUACAAAAAUGCAAGCACUCAGUUUUUGGUAUACUGUUCUCUUCUGUUUAAUAUAUCUUGAAUUUUAGUGGUAUAUUCGAAUGAUUUGGUUGUCAAUUAAUUAUUAUUAUUAUUAUUAUUAUUAUUAUUAUUAUAUAAUUUUAAAGUAAGUACAAUGCUUUAGUAUAAAGCUUAUUUUAGAUAUAGUAAUUCAAAGAAAAAUGAAUAUAUUUAGAAUAUUUCAAUUUCAGAUCAGUGUGUUGCACUGGGCAUUGAUAGGGUUAAAAGUGAUUCUACCAUAGCUCAUGUAUGAAAGCCAUGAAGCUGAGGUGAUUACCAAGUAUUGAUAUGUAUCAAUUCAUUCUGCUGAUAUUCUGAGGCUGAGUUCAUUAUGAUAAUUGUAUAAUUCCACAGGGGCUGCCAUAGUUUUCUUAUUUACUUACUGUGAAAUGUUAAUUGAUCCUGUGGGGGGAUAUGUUUUCUAUCCAGAUUGUAAAUGCCCAUUAGUACCUACCUAAUAAAGAUUUAUUUUUUUAGAAUCUGUUUUUUAUCCUGCAUAGAUUGCAAAUAAGAGACUUUGUAUGCAGUCAGUGUGCCUGGGAGAAUGCUGUUUUUGUAGUGUAUACAAUCUUUAUUAUUGAUUAAUUUAAAAAAAAUAUUUUUAAUUAGUUCACACUUAAAUGGUUAAACAAAUAUCCCUCAGUGUAUAAGAGAUCAAAUAUUAAUGAAAAUGUAUCACAAAUUCCUCCUCCCCCCCUAAUACCGUUCACCCUGUUUCAGUCUGAAAAGAACCUGCCUGCAUGGGGUUAAUAAUCAAAUUCUACAUUCAGUUGUUUCCUUGAAAACAUAAUGUGAUUGAUUUAUUUAACUGAUAUCAUGAACAAUUACUUUCCUGGGCAUGAAUUUAUGAAUAUUUGAAAAUUUAAUUUUGAGGCAUUCCUGAGCUGAUGACUGAUCAAUUAAGUAGGAUAUCCCUAAAACCUUGCACCCAAUUUAAGCUUGUGGUGAAUAAACAUACGUAUCUAUUCCCUUUUCCUGUUUCUUUCCAUUUUAAACCCUUGUAGUGCAUGGGAGAAGAUUAGUCAAAACACUAUAAUCUGUAAUCAGAACUAUUCUUUAGGGAAGUAAGCGUUUUUUUUUUAUACUGUGAUAAAAUCAGUAAGUAAAAACCCUGUUGCCUGUUAGUGUAUUUUUUUUUUUGUGUGUGUGUUUUGUUUAACAAUGUAUCUUGGUUACGCCAGCAGGUGGAUUUCCAUAGAACACUAUUAAGUUCUCAAGCGUUUCCCAUGCAAAUCUUGUUUUUGAAUUUAGAAAUUGCUGUAUUCAAAUCAUUCUUUCCAUUUCCAUAAAACUCAACUAAAAUCCGUUGUUUUUCCAAACUGUUGAAUGUGAUUUGCAUAAUACUUUUCAUACAGUAGCAAUCCAUCACAAUGUGUUAGCUCUGAUCAAGGAUGGCCAUUUGUGAUUGAGCUAAGUUUACCAUGAUGUUUUCAUAACCUGGGGACUGGAUGGAAAACAGAUGAAAGCUGUGUUCUUUCCGGAUUUAUUGUAUGCUUUUAUUUAGAAAAAUAAAAUAAAACGGAAAUUGAUUUGUCAAAAACUUGUAGAGAAAUAAAACCAUUUUUGUGUUCUCUCUUUUUAGAAACUCAGCUAUUUUUUUUUUUCUCAAAAUGUCUGUGUUUUUAUUGCUGACGUGCAGACAUGUCAGCUUUUAUCAUCUCUGCAUUCACACAAUCGAUUGUAAAGCGAGCUUAAAUAACUCCCAUCACAUUGCUUCUUUAUGGGUCAGUCUUGAAGUGCUAAAUGUGGCAUCGUGGAUAAAUUUUAUUUCUUCCUUAAAUAAUUGAAGAGUAAUUUUCUAACCGCUACUUCUAAGAAAUUGUAUGCUUCCUUUAUUAGACCGGUUUGAAUCCAGCCCAAAAUCUUUUCCCCUAAAUUGCUCCACUUGUAUAACAGCAGAUAAUUAUUGUUUUUUUGUUUAACCUCUAGCUAGUUAUUGCUAGAUAGACGAUUGAAUGCAACCCUGCCUUUUACUUGCUUUACAAUAUUUACAAUUUUAUUUUUUUCUUGUAACCAAUGUGUGUAUAUUUACCUAAUGUACACUGGUAUCUAAUACAAAUUUUUCACUCAAACUAUAACUUUGGGUAUAAUCCUAUUUAUGACAUGUAAAAGUCAGGAUGUACACACCGCCAAUCACAAUGCCAGGAAUGGCCAUAUGGAAGUAUAAAGGUGCAAUGUGUCGUAACACAUGACUGGUAAAAUCUAUGCUCAGAGAUGCAAUAGCAAUUUUAAAAAAAGUUUUAGAUGGCAUUACAUUUGUCCUUCGCAUUUUAUUAAAAAAAAUCAAACUGCACAUCAUAAGAUCAGGGAUGAUGAUAAAGUGGCCAGAAAUAUCCCUUAUUUUAGACUUAAAGGAGCACUAUGUUCACUAGACCUACAUCUUAAUGUAAUAGUUCUGUGGCAUACAUCCUGUCCCUGCAGGCUUAGCAAUGUAAAAUUCAUAGAAAAGGAAUUGUUUACAAUGUUGCCCAAGUCCACUCACUCUGACAGUCACUAGGUAUAUGUCAAACCGGAUUCCCCCCCCCCCACUUCCCCCAAUGCCAAAUGGCCCUGCCUGUCCUGGGUGCUCUCCCAGCGAAAUCCUCAUGAUGCGAUGACGUUGGGCGCUCUUCCGAUGUCUGCAAUGACUCCUCCCUUUAUCCUAGUUCGGAGGAGUGUCUUGUGUGGGCACCUUGCCAGAACUCUUUGACAAAUAAAAUGGGUUGGGUACAUUUUGAUGCACAAUGUGAGGCAAUCCAAUCAGAGGCCACAGUGGCCUAUAUUAAGCCUGUGUGACCUUUCUUCCUGUCGUAGUUUUUUGCUUGCCCGUGAGUGCAUUCCUAUUAUCUUGGCAUUUCUGGUAACUUACAUGGCUUUGUUUCAUUGUUUGUUCUGUAGUCUGAUAUCCCUGACUCAUGGAUCUGUUAUACUCAUUUAUCCAUCUGUCUCAAAACCUGACCUUGGCCUGUAUCUGACUAUUCUCUAUACAUUCUAUAUUCAGGAGGGGACUGACCACUCAGGCACAUCGGUCAUUGACCGAGGGCCCGUUGCAAUCAGGGGCCCGGAUGCAUAGACAGGGCCUUUGAUCUCCCAUCUGGCCCGCAUCUAUUGCUUUAUUCCAGCAAUAGUUGCGGGCCCCUGCCUGUGUGGAUCCUGCAAUGAUCCCAAUUCUUCCCUCCGCAGUGUGAAACCUGGCAGCAUGUGUCCCCCCUCCCAGGUCUCUUCACUCUUCCUGCGCGGUGCAGUACAGGGACUUUGUGUGGGAUGAGAGGAGGGGGAAAGAAUGUGACAUCACAUCCUCUGCUCUCAUUUCACACAUGCAGAGCGACCUUAACUCAGCUACAAGAGAAGCAGUAUCUGGGAGACAGAGCUGAUUGAAUGCAGCCAGGAGACACAAAAGGUGGGUUGUGGAGACAAAGAGGUGAGAUGGGACAUGGAUAUGUGGGUGUAAAUAGGGUGAUGUGGGACAGAGAAAUGUGGGUGUAAAUAGGGUGGGGUUGUGGCUGUAAUUAGGUUUAGGUGGGACAAAGAAAUGUGGGUCUGUAUGUAGAGAUAGGGUGAGGUGGGACAGAGACACAAGUGGAGAUGGAGCAAAGGUACAAUUGGGGUGAGUGUGAUGUGGAGACCAAUAAGGUUACAGAGAAAAGAAAAGCUAGACAGAUUACACAUUAGGGAAGAUAUAGUCAAACAUGUAAUGAAAACAAAAUCACAUUCAAAGGAAAAUUGCAUGCAAACACCACUGAAGUCAUGCACCUGGUGACACACUGCUUCUGUGUUUUCACAGACUGAUAAUCUACAAGCAUACAGUUUUGCAUUCACAUACAUACUGACACUACUCAGAGUACUACAGUCACACACUGACUGCUCAAAUACAAGAACAUUAAUACACCAACAAUCCACUUAAUUUACACACACCGCUUCUUCCACACAAAUACAUUUUAGAUCCCUUCAUUUACACUACACACAAAUACACUCCUGGGCAUAUAUAUUCUCUGGGUUUCACACCUAUCAGCGUUACACAAAUACCUACUUUGACUGAUACAAUUGUACUUUGAGACUACAUAAAUACAAGACUGCAUUAAUAUUCUUGCAGUAGACAGAAUUCAUCCCUCUAUUUACAGUUUUUCACCACACUCAAAAAUAUCCUUGAAUUCAAACCUAUUGAUAUUCUAAAAACACACAUGCAAUCAUACUGGCACAAUAUGCAGAAACAUCCAUUCACACUGAUUUUAAAUGCUCAAAUGCAAACAUGAAUUCAUAAACAAAUGCAUCAGAAGUAAUACAAAACAUUAUACAUAUAUAUUAGCCUUCAAAGGGCCCAGGACCGAAUUUUGCCUAAAUGGCAGUCAGUCCGUCCCUGUCUAUAUUAUACGUUCAAUCCGUCCACUCUAAGGCCUAGUAAUACGGCUUUGUUGUGCAAAAGGUUACACUUGCCUCCCUGUUUGCAAGUUAAGGCAUCUGUCCUUGACAAUCCUUGCAGAACCUGUGAUCAGCAUAUGUACGCCUUGCACAGGGAUGCUGAACUCUCCCAUCAAGAAGCAUUGAAUCAGUGCAUUUCCUGGGAGAUGCUGACUGGUGCAGUGUGGCGGAAGCAUUGGAAUGACUGAGAUCAAGAUUGAGAAUACUUGAUCUUGGCCAGGUAGAGUAGCUACAGUAAGACCUGGGAAAUGUAAGUCUUACACUUUUUUUUAACCAUAACUCUUCUGACCUAAUGCUAUGGUGAGAGACUAUGGGUGCAGUUCUGCUGGUACUUGUCAAAUCUUUUCUUUUUCGCUUGACAAUGUCACCCUAGCAGUCUGAACCCACUCUCAGUGCCUCUUGGGAAGACCUACUUUCUCAUUAUGUGGGUAAAAUGUUAAUGCUUUAGCUGUAACACAAGUCUUUACUAACUCCUUGCGACCACUGAAUAUAAGCUCCCCUUGGUUCUACUGAUCUGUUUUCAAAUGAUGUUGCUGCUGAUGGCGUGAUUUCCCUAGUGUACACGGUAAGGGCUGCUUCCAAUGUUUGAUUGCAGCCUGACAGGGUUUAUCUCAUUCUCUGAAGCUAAAUUACAUAUUGACAGGCUGUCUUGAUAUGAUUCUCUAUCACUGCAUGCUCACUUUACACUUGGCCAUCAGCGCAGUGCUUCAUGCUGAGCUCAGUGCAGAUCACUAGACCUGUGCACAGCCGAAAAAUUCAUUUGGGCUGAAAAAUAUUUUCCAGUCGGAUGGACUUCAUCCAUGCAAUCUCUGCUCAGAUGAGAUUAGCUCCCCUCCCCUUUAUGUUGUAUUUUUGAGAAGAACCAAAAUCAUGCAAAAUGGCACCUGUUGGUCUACUGCAAUUAAAAAAAAUCUCCUUCUUCCUUUUUUGUGGUGACAGACAGCACUAUGAAAAUAAAACAAACAGAACCGCUUGUCCAUCGCAUGUUUUCAUUUGUUCCAUGAUUCAUUCCUGUGGAAUUUGAAUUAAUCACCAGUCACCCAAAAUUGAGAGGGAUUGCACAGAUCUACUUAUGACUCAUUCCAUUGUGUGGCCAGUCUGGGCAGACCCAAUGCUUUACAUUUGGUGGUAUGCCCAGUGAUGUAUCCUGUGAUGGCACAUGUUGAAGUUCGGCCACACUAAUUACCAUGACUUGUGAACAGAUCUAAUUGGUCAGUAUCACUCUGACCUGUUGGAUGCCUUGUGUCAUGGGUCUUUAUCUCAUUGGUGGAAUAUCUGGUGACCUCACCAAUGAUAUCACUGAGCUGUGGCUGAAUAUUAUGUUCAGGAUUAUUACUUCAAGCACAUAUCUAAUUGCUCAACAUGUGGCCUCCAUAUUGGGCACUAGUUAACAGAGGGAAGGUAAUCUAUAAACUCAGGCCCUAGCACUAAAAACAUUAUAGCCAUGAAUUAAUAUUUUUGGACAUACUUUUUUGUUUGUUUUUACUACUUAAUAAGAAAUAUUAAAAUUUUUAAAUGGACUGAUCUUUGUCUUUUUUAUAAAAUAAAAAGUUGGAAAAUACAUCCCAAAAAUAUUAAAUAAUUUAGAAAGUCUAUGCAACAGAACUAAAUUGAUGCCUGUACAUUUCAUACCAUCAAGAUGCAACUAUGUAUGAUGGCAUGGAAUGCCACAGCUAAACUGGCACUUCUGGAGCACAUGUUGUGUCCAAUGUGUAGAUUAAAGUACAAUUUAGUUAUUAUUGCAUUAGAAAUGAAUAGGCUAACUCUGCUUUAACUAAGUGAAUAACACAAAGCACUGUUUAUAUAGUAUUAAGCAGAAUUAAUGAUUUGAUGUUUGACAAACAGGACUGUAACAGAAGAAUAGAGAUGUCGCGAACUUCCGCGAACGGCUCGCCGUGGUUCGCCACGAACCGUUCACGGCAAGCUCUGGUCAGCUGACACAUCCUGGCCAAUCUCCAGCAGACCCUCCCUCCCAGACCCUCCCACCUCCUGGACAGCAUCCAAGUUGAAGGCAGCUUGUGGUUCUGUUACUGGUCUGUCGUGUCAGGCCUGCGUUCCUUGUUUGGCCAGGGACCAUGUUUCCCCUAAUGCUUUAUGUAAUAAAGGUAAAGCAGACUCUGCGGGAUUGCAUUGUGUCACAGUUAAUGAGUCGGGGACAAUGGUUGAUGGUUUACCUCACAAUUAAGUAAACAGAGUUGGGUCUGUUACUUGGAUUUAUUGGCUCCCCCUCCCCCCCCACCCGGUCUGGACUUACCAGUACGUGAUAUUUCCUGUCUCUUGCUCUCUCCUAAAGGGCAGCACUCUACGCUCUGCUUCACUCCCACAUUAUUUGAUUGCGAUUUCCUGUCCUAUUGUGUUUUACACCCCACCUCCUAUAGAAUGUAGGCUCGUUUGAGCAGGGUCCUCGUCAUCCUAUCAUUCCUGUAAGUUUUCUUGUUAUUGUCCAAUUUAUAGUUAAAUCCCCCCUCUCAUAAUAUUGUAAAGUGCUACGGAAUCUGUUGGCGGUAUAUAAAUGGCGAUAAUAAUAAUAACUAGAUUGAUAUUUUUAAUAUUACCUGGUUUUAAAUUAAGCUCUCUAAUUGCUUGAUAUUUACAAUGUUUGAUUUUAAAUUUACUCUAGGCCUCUCAUGUCCCUGAUUGGUCACGGUUUAUCUUAUCUGGAGAACUGCUAUAUAUUGUCUAUGUACUGGAAUAAAGGUGUUUUUGUGAUUUACCAAGGAGUUGUGUGUGUGUGUUUUUUUUUUUUUUUUUUUUUUUUAAACCUACAGGUAUAUUGCGGUUUGAUAUCCACUGUAGAGUAGUUACUCAUAGAGAACUGCUAGUGGACUAGAUAAUGGCUUUGGUUCGGAUGUUCUAUCAGUGUAAUAUAUCCUGCUUAGCCAUUAGAUACGUGACUAAUCGUACAGAGUCUUAGCGCUUAGUAUAGUGGUUAGUCAAAAGAAACCCACGGACGAUAACGUGCCUGAACUGAAACCCUUUCUGUAGCCAGGGCCAUAUACGUGCUUUUACACAAUCUCUACCUGUACUGGUUGACCUCCCCUCAUGAACUGUAGUGAUUGUAGUAUUUUCUGAAUUAUACCUUAACUUUCCUGUUUGCACAACCAUGGACACCUGUUUUGAAAUCCACUAGAACACUGCCAGAAGCUUGAUGUUUUCACAAACUGCCUUCAUUCCACAAUACACAGUGUAUUCAUUGAGUUCUAAGUAAAAAAAAUAACUAAAUUUUAAAAAAAAAUUCUCCGUUAACACUCAAAUUUGACAUUUGUUGUGGGAUUAAUCAAUGGCCCCAGUCAUCUAUCCAUUAAAUCUAAAAUUUUACAGCUUUGUUUUCUCAAAAUGGUAGGAAAUCUCUGUGAGCAUCAUUGAAUAUGAUCAUGUGUUGGGUGCUUUGUAGGACACUCUGCGAAUGCACUUGUACAAUAUGUGAAUGGCACUUGCUGGUUGACAUCAGCUGCACAUGCUUUGGCCUUACACCCUCCUGUCUAACACCUGCUAAUGUAGCAAUGCAUCAUUUUCGCUACUAUAACUUAAAAAAAACAAUGUUUAAUCUUCCCAAAAUAAGCUGCCUCCUUGGACAAGUAAUCUUCUACACAUUGGAAUAUAUUAGAAGUGUGUAUCAUUUGGUUCGAAUGCUCACCCAUUAUUCUCAUAGUGGAAAUCCAUUCUUGGCACUAGAACCGCUUAUUUCCCCCUCAGGGCCCCAUGUGAGAGUUGACUGCUGAAUGAGUGGGAGGAAUCAAAUGAAAAUAGCGUGGAUCUUGGUAGCCAUUUUAAAAAAAUGUCUGUCUAGUAGAAGACAUACCGUAUAGUAUAGGCAGUAGGUUUUGCACUUCAUUGGGAAUUUUUGAACCAAUGUAGAUUUUGCGCUACAGUGUUUCACUCAUGCAGAAUGCUGCCAGAUGUUGGUGUCCAGUGCUGACCAUGCAGAGCCUCUUUUCCCCAUUACUGCAGUGUGAGUGUAAUACAAUGACUUAAAACAAGUCUGCUAGCUACGCUACACCCAGAGCUAUAGCGCUUUGCUGCUGAAAAUGUAACUAUACAUCCAGCAGUGUCAGUAGAGCAUUAGCCAGAAUGUGAGUUCUGGACUGGCUAAUGUCAAUUCUUUACAUAUUGAACAUCUAUCGUAGGCACGGACAACCAAUGGCAGUAUGGCCUCUCCCCCUCAGUGCUGCAUAAGUCAUCCUCUCAUCCUGACAUCCCUCUUCACCAGUGAGAAUUUCACCGACCGCUCACAACUUAAGUUUCAUGGUUGACCGCUGCUGCUUGAUGACGAGAGAAAUUCCUCCAGAAUUUCCUAUUGCUACAUUUGUAUCUAACAUCUGCUUGCUUGCCAAAUCCUCAGCUUCAACACUUGCUUCUGGGGACAGGGCCUGACCGCCAUGCUGCAGCUUCUGAGGUUUUCGAUCUUUUAGCUAGAAUAACCACUUACUCACCCAGCACCAGUGGGCUGUGUGUUGGUGCCUCAUCUGUUCCUGGGAGUUGGGAUGCUUGAUGAGGGCAAUGCAGGCAUCUUGACUGCAGCCCAGAGUGGGGUGGACAGAUGUAGCCUUACUUUGCUAACUGACUGCAGGACACCAGUUAUCAGACAAUACAUAUUGUUGGCCUUUGUUUUCUUUAAAUUAUACUUAAAAAAAAAAAAAACUCCUUAUUUACUAACCUACAUUAGUUUUUGAACGCAUAGCCUAAUUAGCCUUCAACAAUAUUAAAAUGUCUUUUCAAGUACCAUUGAACAAAUUAAAAAUGCAGUCCUGCUUGGCAUGCAAUAAACACUCUGACAUUAAAAAAGAUUUGAGGAAUAGGAAUACAUACAUUAUAUCCCAUUCCUACACCUAUUUAUUGCUUUCCCAUUAUAUAUCUACCCUUCCUCUUCAUUGUCUCACCCACAUAACCUGUGCCAUCCCCCAUGUCCUCCUUUCUCUUAUUCCUAUACUAACACACUCCCUCCUCACAUGCAAAUAGCCACUUUUCUUAUACUUUAUGCAAAACCCAUUCUAUUCACAGAAUCCCUCCAUCAGUUAACUCCUUUGCCAGUUAGCCCAUCAAAACCCUCUGCUCCAGUUUUUGAACUGGAUAGGUCAUAAGUGUAGAUGUUCUUGUAGAACUGAAAGUUAAUAUACCAAAUAAAAUAUUAACCUUUUUAAAAAGGAACCAAAGUCAGAAAUCCCUAUGUUUAAUCCAUCGUUCUUGUCAUUACAGAGAUGUCUCCCAGAUUUGCUAAUGCAGUUGAACAUAAACAUGUCAAACUAUUUUCUUGUGAAUGAUCCAUAAUAUCCUGGUGAUUCUAAAGCUGGUAAACAAAGUAAUGUUUACUUUGAAGUUAUAUAGAAUAAAACCUUAUGUAAUCUUUAGAACCAUCUGAAAGAUUGUAUAGUUUUACAAAUAGUUUCAGAAGAACUACAUAGUGGGAAUUCAGCUCUCUUUAACACCCAUGCUUGAAACAGAAAUACUUUAUAGCUUAGGAAACUCUCUCUAGUGUGUGGGGGUUUUUUUUUUGGGGGGGGGGGAAGGGUUCGGUUCCCCCAGACUUCUUCACAGGGGUUUCAGAUACUCUGGAGUUUCUGAUAUGGCAACUGAUGUACCACAUAUUUGGUUGUACCUGGAUGGGAUCUUGUUGAAAGCUAAUAAGCGUUUAGCAAAGCUCUGUAGAAUGUGGAGGCAUUUUACUGUCUGGAAUUUUUCACCUAUGAAUAAACUGAUUUUAAACUGGAAAGACGUCUUAUCAGAAGGGGAAGAUAUACAGCACUUUGACAGUGUGAAUCAUUUAGAUUUCACAUUAAGUGAAGGCUCAGAAUCUUUCCAAGAAAGAUGUCCGAGAAACUAGUUAAUGAAACAAUUGAUGGACUUGACUGUGGCCAUGGAGUGGCUCAAGGGUGUCAUCGAUCUGGUUUUUGAGAAGGAAAUUGAUGAACCAAACUAAUUUGUGGCGUAUGACCUGUGCAGACGCCAUGCUUCACAAUGGGGACAAACCUGAAAGCUGGUUGAAUUUUCAAAACCUUCUGUGGAACAGUUGUCAUAAUUUGAGGAGGACAAAGCAGAGAAUGUGUUUUUUGAGAAAAUUGACUACUAAUCUGUAGAAGAGUUGGAGGAAUUUAAAGACCAAGUGUAAUGAUAUUGAUGUUACAAAGUUUUGGAGUCCAGUAGCCAGAUCAGCAAUGUUUUCUGCCAGAGGUAGUCACUCGUUACCCAGGUGGUUGAGCCCCUGAGCCUUGAGUGGCCUUCUGGUCUUAAGCAGAGAUGGGAGACUGGAACAGAAAGAUGAUAAUUCGUAGUGAGGCAAGCCGAGGUCAGUGGGAAGGAGAAGCAGCAAAGUCAAAACAGUCCAAAUUCAGCAACAGGAAGGAGAAACAGGAACACGCUUGAUUAGAGAGUACAGGAACCACAAUAAUCUGGCAAAGGUACAGAGACAGGAAGUGGCUUUUAUAGGCCAAGAACCAGACACCUGACCAGACACAGCUGAAGAGAGUUGUCACUGAUAACCUUGACUCUACAAGCAAUGGUAUCAGAUCUCAGGUAAAUUUGCAAAAGGCAGGCUGGUGUACUGGUAAGGAAGAGGUUUAGCACCAUGUAAACCAGGGUUCGAAACCCAGCAGAGUCAGUUCCUCACAUUACCCCCACCUCUACAGGCGCAGCCUCUGGAUGCCCUAUUUCCUGGUUUAGCAGGGUACUGUGCAUGGAAAGACUGAAGAAGAUCUGGAGCAUGAAUAUUGUCCACUGGUUCCCACGAUCUAUCCUCCUCACCAUAGCCUUUCCAAUGAACCAAAUAUUGAAGCUUGUUGCGGAAGAUCCUGGAGUCAAGAAUUUUUUCCACCUCGUAUUCAUCUUCACCAUCCACGAGGACUGGUGGUGGGGCAGGCAAGGCUCGACCAGGGAAAGUAUUUUCAUGAAAAGGUUUAAGCAGUGCCACGUGAAACACCGGAUGUAUUUUCAUGGAAUCCGGAAGUUGCAGACGGAAGGUGACUGCAUUGAUCUGAGCGAUUAUCUCAAAAGGUCCCAUGAACUUUUGACCCAAUUUAUGAGAAGGAAUCCUAAGCUUAAGAUUCUUUGUUGACAGCCAAACCUUGUCACCAACAUGAUAAACUGGGGCCUCCUUUCUGUGCCUAUCAGCAGCUCUUUUGUAACAUUCCUGAGCCUCCGAAAGAGUCUCCUUCAACAGUUCUUGGGAAUCUCGUAAGGCGGUUAGCCGGUCAGUGACUGCAGGAAUGGGAGUAGUAAUUGGGAGACUCACUAGAAAGGUUGGAUGGUAACCAUAAUUGGCAAAAAAUGGGCUCAGAGAAGUGGAGCAGUGUUGGGCAUUGUUAUAGGCAAACUCCGCCGUGGGUAGAAAAUCCAGCCAGUCAUCCUGCAGGUAACUAAUAUAGCACCGCAAAUAUUGUUCUAAAGUCUGGUUGGUUCGCUCAGUCUGUCCAUUACUUUGUGGAUGAAAAGCUGAAGACAGAUUUACAUUAAUACCUAGAAUAGAACAAAAAUAUUUCCAAAAAUGAGAUGUAAACUGCACUCCCCUGUCAGAAAUUACUUCAUCAGGCACUCCAUGCAAGCGAAAUAUUUCCCGAAUAACAAGGUCAGCAGUCUGUUUAGCUGAAGGGAGACCACGAGCUGGUAUGAAAUGACUCAUCUUAGUUAACCGGUCCACAACAACAAGAAUGGUAGUGUGUUCCUUAGAGGGAGGUAGUUCCACAAUAAAGUCCAUGGAUAUAGAUCCCCAGGGACGAUGAGGAAUCGGAAGAGGCUGAAGCAAGCCAACAGGGGAUGAGUGAGGAGUCUUAUGUCUGGCACAUACAUCACAAGAGGACACAUACUACUUAACAUCCUCAUAAUAUUUAGGCCACCAAAAGGAUCGGGUAAGUAGUUCUUGUGUCUUUCGGAUUCCUGGAUGACCUGCUGGUUUAGAGUCAUGGUAGAGGCGUAAAACGUCCAGUCGCACUGAUUCUGGAACAUACAGACGUUGUUGAAAAAUCCAAAACCCAUUAAGCAUGGUCAUAUGAAGAUCACGAGGAGGAUCACGAAAAACUGGAUCUUUAGAGUAGCCCUUUUUAAUGCGAGACAUUAGAUCAGAAGGAAAGGUAACUCCUAAAAAUCUGCUCUCCGGCAAGAUGGUGGCCUUGGUUACUGUAGUAUGGAGGGGGUCAGCUAUCCUAGACAAGGCAUCUGCCUUGCCAUUUCUGGAACCAGGGCGGUAUGAAAUAAAAAAAUUAAACCUUGAGAAAAAUAGGGACCAGCGUGCUUGUCUGGCUGACAGUCUCUUAGCAGAUUGUAUACAUUCCAGAUUUUUGUGAUCUGUGAGGACAGUAAUUGGAUGGGUGGCUCCCUCCAAGAGAUGUCUCCAUUCGGCGAAGGCAGCUUUUAUAGCCAAAAGUUCUUUAUUCCCUAUGUCAUAAUUUCUUUCUGCUGGUAACAUCUGGCGGGAAUAGAAGGCACAUGGAUGUAACAACAUCUUAGGUCCAGUCCUUUGAGACAGUAUAGCCCCAACAGCUGAAUCAGAAGCAUCUACCUCUACAGUAAAUGGCAAUUCUGGCUGAGGAUGUACCAAGAUAGUGGCAGAUGUAAACAGAGUUUUUAAUCUGGAAAAUGCAGUGUCAGCCUUAUUGGACCACUGAAAAGGAGUCCCUUUACGUGUAAGUUCAGUGAUUGGUGUAAUAACGGCAGAGAAAUUCUUAAUGAAACGCCUGUAAAAAUUGGCAAACCCCACAAAUCUCUGUAUAUCUUUUUCAUUCUUGGGGAUGGGCCAGUCCAGCACAGCUUUAAUUUUACUUGCGUCCAUACUUAAACCUUUAGGAGUUAUUACAUACCCCAGGAACUGAAUUUCUGUUUGUUCAAACUCACAUUUUUCCAGUUUAAUGUAUAGGUGGUGGGUACGAAGGCGCUCAAGAACAAUGCAGACCUGUUUUCUGUGAUUUUCAAGAUUAUCAUAAAAUAUCAGGAUAUCAUCCAAAUAUGCCACAACAAACUGAUCCAGGAGAUCCCGUAGUACAUCAUUGAUUAGAUGCUGAAAAGUUGCAGGGGCAUUACAAAGCCCAAAUGGCAUUACUAGAUAUUCGUAAUGUCCGUACCUGGUUCUGAAAGCAGUUUUCCAUUCAUCAUUUGGUCUUAUGCGAACCAGAUUAUAUGCCCCCCGUAGAUCAAGCUUCGUAAAUAUUUUAGCUGAACGAAGUCUCUCCAGAAGUUCAGGAAUGAGAGGCAAGGGAUAACGUUUUUUAACAGUGAUUUUAUUAAUGUCCCUGUAAUCGACACAUGGCCGUAGACUGCCAUCUUUCUUUUCUACAAAGAAUAUAGGAGCUCCUGCUGGAGAAGUGGAUGGUCGAAUAAAGCCUUUGGCAAGAUUUUCUUGUAUGUAUUCACGAAGUGCUUUCAAUUCAGGCUCAGAAAGGGAGUAUAUACGGCCAAAUGGGAUAGCAGCUCCAGGUAGCAGCUCUAUGGGGCAAUCAUAAGGCCUGUGAGGUGGAAGCUGAUCUGCAUUCUUCUUAUCACAGACAUCUGCAAAAUCACGAUAUUGUAGAGGAAGCUUGGUUAAGUUUGUAGCAACCAUUUCAUUAAUUGUUGUGGUAACAGGUGUCGCCUUAGAGGGUUGACAAUUCAUUAAGCAGUGUUCUGAAGGAAAGGACAAGGUUCUAGUCUUCCAAUCAAUCUGUGGGUUAUGCAGAGCAAGCCAGGGUAUACCCAAAAUCACUGGAAACUGUGUUGAGGAAAUUAGAUGGAAAGAUAUAGACUCAUGGUGAUUCACUUCCAGAAUCAAUUUUAAGGGCACAGUCUCAUGUGUAACCGGGCCUGACGUAAGUGGAGAACCGUCUACUUUUUCCAUUAACACAGGUGAAGAUUUAGGGAUAGACUGAAUUUUGUUUCCUGCUGCAAAUUUAAUGUCCAUAAAGUUUCCGCCUGCUCCGGAAUCUAUCAUAGCUGUAGUUGAAAUUUUAUUAUCACCAUAUUGCAAAGUGAUAGGCACCACCAAAUGAGGAUGUUGAGUCAUCAUACCUUCUUCACCCUGAGCCAGAGAAAAUAAGGGUUGUGUGACAGAAUCCAGUUGGUCUGAAAUCUGGGAUUGGUGUUGAAUCUGUGCACCCUCAGCAGUCAUAGCUAUUGUUCUUUUAGACUUGUUAGGGCAAUUGAUGGCAUAAUGCCCUGUACUACCACAAUACAGGCAUAAAUUGUGAGUGCGUCGCCACUGUUUUUCUUCAUUGGAUAAUGGCCCUCUUAUUAGAUCUACCUGCAUAGCCUCAGGUUCAGAGUCUGUAGGUGUUUGUGGGGUCGGAGUAGAAAUUCUUGAAUAGAAAGUAGGAGUAGCACUUGGUUUAAAAGAGCCCUGUCUUUCCAAUCUUCUUUCUGAAAGUCUCCGAUCAAUACGGAUAGCCAACCGCACAAAUGCAUCAAACUCAACAGGAAGAUCAACACGAGCUAGCUCAUCUUUUAUAGCUUCUGAGAGACCCCUUCUGAAGUGGAACCUCUGGGCUGAUUGGUUCCAAGUAGUAUCAGUAACCCACUGUCUGAAUUCAGCAGCAUAUUCAGCCACAGAGCGCCUCCCUUGAUGUAAAUGAAGGAGAGUGGCUUCUGCUGUAGCACAGCGAUUGGGAUCAUCAAAAACUAGGCACAUGGCCUCAAGAAAGUCUUUUAAAUUUCCCAAGACUGGACUGUCCUGUUCCAGAAAAGGGGAGCCCCAGGCCAGGGCUUCAUCUUUGAAGAGGGAAAAAAUAAAUCCCACCUUCUCUCUUUCAGAUGGAAAACGGUUAGGUAACAUCAUGAAAUGCAAACGGCAUUGAUUUAGGAAACCCCUAAAUUUUUUGCGGUCUCCUCCAAAUUUUUCUGGUAGAGGCAAGCGGGCAUCUUGUGCAGGUGUAGCAGUAGUAGUAGCAGCAGCCGCAACAUCAUGUGCCCUGUAGCUGGUAAGCUCACUAUGCAUUGAUCGAACUUCAUUUUGCAGUUCAGCUACCUGAUCCUGCAGCACUUGAAUGGUCUGUGCCUGGGUCUGCAUAGUUCUUGCAUUAAAAGCAACCUGCUGGGCCAAUGCAGAAUCUGAUCCGACGGUCUCCAUGAAUGGGCCAGAUUAUUCUGUAAUGAUAUUGAUGUUACAAAGUUUUGGAGUCCAGUAGCCAGAUCAGCAAUGUUUUCUGCCAGAGGUAGCCACUCGUUACCCAGGUGGUUGAGCCCCUGAGCCUUGAGUGGCCUUCUGGUCUUAAGCAGAGAUGGGAGACUGGAACAGAAAGAUGAUAAUCGUAGUGAGGCAAGCCGAGGUCAGUGGGAAGGAGAAGCAGCAAAGUCAAAACAGUCCAAAUUCAGCAACAGGAAGGAGAAACAGGAACACGCUUGAUUAGAGAGUACAGGAACCACAAUAAUCUGGCAAAGGUACAGAGACAGGAAGUGGCUUUAUAGGCCAAGAACCAGACACCUGACCAGACACAGCUGAAGAGAGUUGUCACUGAUAACCUUGACUCUACAAGCAAUGGUAUCAGAUCUCAGGUAAAUUUGCAAAAGGCAGGCUGGUGUACUGGUAAGGAAGAGGUUUAGCACCAUGUAAACCAGGGUUCGAAACCCAGCAGAGUCAGUUCCUCACACCAAGCCUGCUGAAGAUGUUGACCAACACAAUCAUGCACGAUUGUGUAUUGAAAUUAAUAAAAAUAAAAAUCAAUGAUGAAGAAUCUCUGGAGGGCCUGUGUCAGCUGCUCAACACCAAAGUGGAUGAAGGAGGAUGGAAUACCGUGGAAUAGACCUUCCAAAUGUUUAACAAUAAAGUCUAGUAUAGACAAGAUUCAGUUGGUGCCAAAAGCUGUCUAGUAGCUGGGGGAAGGGGAUUAUUGCAGGUGCAAUUAUUGAGUUCCAUUGCCCUGGCUAUCUACACAAUCUAAUCUCUUGUGAGAUGUGAGACUAAACUCUACAGGCCUCACUGCUGUCUGUGUCCAGUGAUAAAACUCCAAAUAAAACAAAAUGGGUUCACCCCACCUCACCCUCUCCAUAUUUAAACAAUUGCUUUGGGGGGCCCUGCUUUUUUUACANNNNNNNNNNNNNNNNNNNNNNNNNNNNNNNNNNNNNNNNNNNNNNNNNNNNNNNNNNNNNNNNNNNNNNNNNNNNNNNNNNNNNNNNNNNNNNNNNNNNGGCUACCCUAUAUCGGUUCCGGCACACCACACAGACUUUAACCAAUCACAAGGUAUUUCACAGUCACUAAUUAACCGACCACAAAUAUAUAUAUAUAUAUAACAGGGGAGGCUGCGCUCACCUGAACAUGCAUAAAUGGGGUGCUGCUGGGGGCCACAUUAUACAAUACACAAAAUCCAGCGCACUCACCUAUUCACUAAACAGCAACUUCAAUGUUGACAGAUUUUGUUAGUUUUAUUAAAAACACAUCACCUAGGCAAAAAAUAAUGGGGCUUUAAUGGGGCAUAAGCCUGCCACAACGUCAAUGUACCCCAUUCUUGGCGGGUCCUACUCUAACAGCCUAAUGUCUGCUCUUAUAUAUAAUAUUUGUAUUUAUUUUUUGUUCUAAUUAAUCAACAGACAAACUAGGAAGAUUACUUAAUCAAUCAGUGUUUAUCCCUAUGACAACAAAGCUACAUUGGUUAAAAUAUCCAGCAAUAUGCUUUUAUAUAUUUGAAGGCAGUUGGUUCUGGUACUCCACUGCUAAUGUUAGCGUUUAUAACUGGUGCAAUCUUGUUAUAAGCACAAUGGGCGAUAUCUAUAUCUCAUUAACACCUUGUCUGGUUGCAAUUAUAUACUAACAGGUUUAAGAACUUCAAUCUGAGGAUCUGGCAAAUGUUUUUGUUCAUUCACAGUGAUCUGAAAAUGUACAUUGAAACUAUAUUUUUUAGUAGCACUGAAAUUUCUUUUUGCAAUUCUGUUUUCAAAAAUGUAACUUUUUUUGCACUGAAAUUACAAGCAUUACCUCCUGAUGUUACCAAAUGGAUUCCCUCGCAGACCGUGAAGUUCUCAUAAUUAAACAGCAUGUAAAAACAGAACACUAACUGUGGCAAAGCUACAGUCUCAACCCUCCCUUGGAAAUGUGUAAUUUUGUUUUGUUAUCUACUACAUGUCAUAGUUCAAAAUCUAUGUAAAAAAACAAAACUCUAUAUAUUUUUUUUUUACUUAUCUAAAACCAUGUUGUCUUGUCUGGAGGCAGGAUUGAUUUGAGACGUAUGUCAUGCAGUCCUGGUGUGUUUGUGGUGUUUUUGUUUUUUUUAUCUUCACUGACUAUCACUCAUGGUGUAAGGUUAAGAAACACCAAAAAAAAAAUCUAUCAAUGUAUUUGUUGCCUGUCAGACAGAUGUGCACACACAGCACAUUCAGGCCACCUCUGUCCUCAGUUCUUUGUUAAACUGGAAUUUGCUCAGCACAGCCCUUCCCUGCUUAUUUCAUACCUCCCGAUAUCGCCACUGAUAAAAAAAAAAAAAAAAAAUUGCAUGGAGGCAAUAUUGAACUAAGCAAACUCCCAUUCAUUUUCAACUUUAAUUCUGGAGAUGAGGGGUUGGCCGUGGACUUGUGAUACAUUGUGGCUAUAGAUCACAACACUGAAAGAACAUACACACUGCAUGAAUUCACUGCAUGACAAACACUUCCUAUUAUUACGUUUUCUAUAUUUAUUAUUUUUUAUUUUUACAUUUAGAAAAAACUGUAGCUAAAUGCACUCAUUUUAAUAGCGAAUCCAAACCUAAAUGUCAUUCUAAGUAAUUAAAUCAAUAAAGUCCCUUUUUAUUGCAGCUCUCUCGUGUAGCACUGUGGACACCUCUCCACUUUUAUUAGGAAUACUUAUUGUUUACCGAGCAGAGAUAUAAAAAAAAGUAAAGUGAAUCGAAAUAAACAAACUCCACAGAGAGAAGCUGAUUAAACUCUGCAGGCACGAUGAAAGGUCUGAGGAAAUAUCUGGGAAAAAUCUAAUGAAAUAAAAAGAAUAUAUAAAUUUAAAAACCUUAAUUUAAUUUGGAUGGCUGGUAAAAAUAACAAAAUCCUAAUGCAAAACAAAAAAGCAUUACAUGGUUUGAACUUCCCAGCAAGUUAUUGCACUGGGUAGAUUUCAACUUUAAUAUCCAAUGUGGAGUUGGCCUUGUAUCAUUUCAAGCUCAAUACAAUGAAUACUAUUAACCAAGGUAAUAUGUGGAUCCAAGGACAUGGUUUGAAACUAGAGGCUCUAAAUGUGCUUUACUGUUAAUAUUACUAUUGUAUUGGCAAGUUAUCUAGUUCUCGGAGGGUGGCAUAAACUCUACACAGAAUAAAAUUUAUGUUUUUGUUUUGUUCAUUCAGAAUUAGAUUUCUUGGCUUUGCCAACCUGUCAGAUUGGUUCCGCUUCCCACCUGUGCUGCUUGCAGAGAUACUUCUCAGUUUCCUCUGUGUUCAAUUUGUUUGAGGUCUUGUGCCGUUAAAGCUUUUCUAAAGGCAAUCUAUGUGCACUCAGUCUGCAAAUACUUGGUUGCUUGAAUAGAAUUUUCAGCCUGUCUAAUUUUCAUGUUAAAACUGAUAUUCCUUACCUGUUGGCAACAAUACACGUACCACUUCAAUUUCAGUGGCCACUUCUUCUGUUAUAACUACAUAUUGUAUUUGGCUUUAACUCCUUCCUUGCUAACUUUAGAAUCAUAAGGCACCUAGAAACCUGAUAGAGAGAAAAAACCUUGUAAUCGAUUUAUUUUGAAAUCUCUCAUACCCAGGAAUUUCAUUUAUUUGUCACGACAGGUCACACAUUACAAGGAGCACAUUACUAUUUCGAAAGUAACCGUUUAAAAAAAAGUGGAUUUUACUUUUCAUAGCUGUCAAAACUCCAAACAAUACCUCAAACAUUGGAAAGUAUAAUUGUGGGAUCGAGAUUUAAUGAGAAAAUAGGGAAGGGACCAGUGAUGUCACUAACACUACUGGUAAUACCCAGAGCAGGUCUGUACAAAUGUAGCCCCCCAGAUCUUUUGAACUACAAUGCCCAUGAUUCUUUGAAUGAAACAACCAUAGAAUCAUAUUAUAGGUAGUUAAAAACACACGGGGAGCUGCAGGUUGUGCAGGCCUGCCCCCUGACGCAGACCAAGGUCUGGGAUCCCAGUGGCCUGCCCCUGAGUCUGCCCACAUGACUCGCCCCCAGAUCCACCCCACAGGGCCCAUCCUGAGUCACAAGGAUGAAGUUUGUGUGUACUGAAUUUGGUGUGUGUAUAGUGGCUGUAGAAUGUGUGUAGUGGAUGCAAAGUGCAUCAGUAAAGUGGAUGUGGUGUUUAUAGUGGAUGCAGAUUGAAUGUUUGUGUAGUAGAUAGAGUGUGUGUAUAGUGAAUGCAGGGUGUUUCUGUAGUGGAUGUAGUGUUUGUGUGUAUAGUGAAUGCAGAGUUUGUAAUAAAUGUAGAGUGUGUAUUUGUGUAGUGGAAUUAGUGUGUACAUAGUGACUGCAGAUUAUGUUUGUAGUGGAUGUAGUAUGUGUAUAGUGAGUGCAGAGUGUGUGUGUGUGUGUGUGUGUGGUGAAUGCUGUGUGUUUGUGUAGUGAAUGCUGUGUGUGUGUGUGUAGUGGAUGAUGUGUGUGUGUGUAGUGGAUGAUGUGUGUGUGUGUGCGUAGUGGAUGAUGUGUGUGUGUUUGUGUAGUGGAUGAUGUAUGUGUGUAUAGUGAGUGUAAAGUGUAUUUGUGUGGUGAAUGCUGUGUGUGUGUGUGUGUUUGUGUAGUGGAUGCAGUUUGUCUGUUUGGUGUGUGUGGUGGAAGCAUUUUGUCUGUUUGGUGUGUGUGUGUGUGUGUGGUGGAUGCGUUUUGUCUGUUUGAUGGGGGGUAUUUUAUUGCUGUUGAAUUUUUAUUAAACAUUUUUAUUCCCCCCCCCCUCCCUGCCUCUUACCUGUAGUCAGGGAGGGGUACACUGGAUUCCCUGGUGGUCCGGUGGCUCAACUGGACUGGUUAGACCAGCAAAGAGGGGCUCAGCAGUCUGCAUCUUCCAUCUCCGGCCUCUACUUCUGUAGCGAGCCCGGCAUGCAUUGCAUGCCGCGAGUGUUGUCACGGCAACCCGCGGCAACGCUUUACAGCCGCGGCUUGCGAUCGUGCUGGAGAGGGAUGUCAGUAUAUCCUGGGCCCCGCUUGGAAGUCAGUAGAGCCCGGAGGGGUGUGUGUGUAUGUAUGUGUAUAUGUGUAUAUGUGUGUAUAUAUAUGUAUGUAUGUAUGUGUGUGUGUGUGUGUGUGUGUGUGUGUGUGUAUAUAUAUAUAUAUAUAUAGAACUUGGCACACACCCUUUAAUGCAAAUAUCCAGAUAAAUAUUGCCUGGAUGCAAACCUUAGCGUUAUAAAUACAAAAAUAUAUAAACAAGGUGCACUCACAGGUCUUCAAAAGUGCUUCAUUUAUUUUAUAUGCAAAUUACACGUGCAAAAAAGUCUUCCAAUGAAUCGACGUUUCGACCCCUAUAGGGUCUUUUUCAAGAUCUUUUGAAGACCUGUGAGUGCACCUUGUUUAUAUAUAUAUUUUUUUAUAUAUAUAUAUAUAUAUAUAUAUAGCGGUACUUGCUAUAAUAUAUAUGCACAUUGGAGAGCGGGGGUACAUCCGAAUGUCCGAAUUGCCGAAGUUCCGAAAUUACCGUAUUUUCGAAGUGCCGAAGUUCGAAGCACAGUAUUGCCUAAGUACUAAUAUACUUACCCAGUGAAAGAAGAAGAAUGUUACACUGUAUACAAUUUUAAAUAAAAAGUAUACAAACAUAGCCAGGAUUCAGCUGUAAGCAUUUGCAACACUUACAUCAAUCAAGUAACACACAUUCAUAUAAAAUGUGAGUUACUUAGCCAGUCAGUGUAAUGACAGGAAUGAAUAAGGAGAUAACUACCUAAUUCCCACUGUAUUAGAGAGCUAUCUACUAAAAGGCUGAAAGAUCCAAAUUGGUCUUUCAGACAAAUUUACUAAUACUAAGUAAAGAUUACUUAGUAUUAGUAAAUUAUGCCCCUACUCGCUAUACCGCGAGUAGGUGCAUGUCUAUUAAACAGUGAGUAGCCUGAGAGGGGGGUUAACAUUUUUUUUUUAGGGCCCCCAUCUGCCACUCAAGGGUUGGUGGCUGGGAGGAGGACAUUAGGUCCCCCCUUAUUCCAACUUAGGGCCCCCACCCGCAGCUCAGGGGUGGGGUCCAGGGGGGAGGACAAUAGGUCCCCCCUCAUCGUUUUACUUUGGGGCCCCAACCCGCCGCUCAGGGGUGGGGGCCGGGGGGGAGCAAUAGUUACCCCCUUUAGUUUAAAAGUCCCCACUCACGCGUUGAAGGUGGGGGCUCGGGAGGGGGGACCCUAUUUUUUUUAUUAUUUUAUUUUUAAACGGUAUAGCGAGUAGGGGCAACAUUUACUAAUACUAAGUAAUUUUUACUUAGUAUUAGUAAAUUUGGCUGAAAGACCAAUUUAGGUCUUUCAGCCUAUUGGUACAUAACUCCCUAAUACCGUGGGAAUUAGGGAGUUAUCCACUAAGUGGCUGCAAUAGAAGUCCCGAGGUGCCGAAAUCCGGAAGUGCGAAAAAUCCCGAAUUUCGGAAUGCCGAACCGAACCGAAAAUUUUCCCCAUGCACAUGCCUAAUUACCAGUGCAGUCCGGGCCCCCCAGGACCGCCGUCAUGGUUGUCCCCCUCUGAUGGCAGCCCUGCCUAGAGCCAAUGGCGUACAUACCGGGGUCGCAGGGGUCACGGCUGCCAUCAGGGGGUGACAACCAUGACGGUUGUCACAGGCCCGGCGGUCUUGGGGGGCCCGGACUGCACUGGUAAUCCUCCUUGUGUCCGGGCCCCCCGCUGUCGAGGCUGGCCCUGGUGUCACAGGCAGCUGGUCCGGCGGGCGAGGGAGCACUCUCCCCUGAGCGCUCUCUGCCCAGCUCCCUCACGCGCCACAUACCGGAAUAUGAUGUCAGACAGCCAGCCCGCCCGGUGACCGGCCGCCCAGCAGCACCACUGGACCCCAGGGAAUCCCCUCAGCUCUCCGAAAGGUAAGGAGGCUGGGGGAUUACAUUUUUUUUUUUUAAAUGUGUUAGUGUGUGUGUCUGCUAGUGAGUGCCAGUGAGUGUGUUAGUUUGUGUGUCAGUGAGUGUGUGUCUGUUACUUGAGUGUGUUUGUGUGUGUCUGUUAGUGAGUCUGUUUGAUGAGUGUUUGUCAGUGAGAGUAAAUGUUUUGUGAGUGUGUAUGUGUGUCUGUCUGUCAGUGAGUAUGUAUGUAUGUCACUGAGUGUGUCUGUCAGUAAAUGUGUCUGUUAGCUAGUGUGUAUGCAUCUGUUUGUGAGAGUGUGUGUGUUUAAAACCCCUUCAGCACUUACCUUUCUCCAGUGCCGGACUCCCUUGGCGCUGGGGACCCCUCUGCCCCGAUCCGCCUCUCAGCUCCGAAUGCGCAUGCACGGCAAGAGCCACGCGCGCAUUCAAACUGCCCAUAGGAAAGCAUUACUCUUUCAGCCAAGUCUUUCAGCCUUUUUUGUAGAUAACUCCCUAAUACCGUGGGAAUUAGGGAGUUAUCUACUAAGCGGCUGCAAUAGAAGUCCCGAACUGCCGAAAUGCCGAAGUUCUGAAAUUCCGAAGUGUCGAAGUCUUGAAGUGCCGAAUUGCCGAAGUCCCGAAUUGCGGAAUGCCGAACCGAAAAUUUUCCCCAUGCACAUGCCUAAUUACCAGUGCAGUCCGGGCCCCCCAGGACCGCCAGGCCCGUGACAACCGUCAUGGUUGUCACCCCCUGAUGGCAGCCCUGCCUAGAGCCAGUGGCGUACAUACCAGGGUCGCGGCUGCCAUCAGGGGGUGACAACCAUGACGCUUGUCACGGGCCCGGCGGUCCUCGGGGGCCCGGACUGCACCGUUUGAUAUAAAACUGGGCUACAUCGAGUCUGUACAGGUUUUGUUGCACUUUUAAUGUGUUUAGAAAAUCUGCAUAUUUUGUGUUUAGAAGGGCUCUAAUUUUAACAUUACAGUAAUAAAAACCACUUGUAAAAAGCCAAAAAUAAAAUGUAAUGUCAUGCUUUUUGUUUUUAUGGAAUUGCUAAAUUUUACUUGUAAGGACACCAUUAUUAAACAUUAAUGACACUCUAAGCUGGAAACACUUUAUUUUUCUUCCUACACAGAAAUAAAACUGUUUAUCCUUUCAUAGCAUUGCCCCACGGAAAUCGCUUCCUUUGGCAGGGCUCAGAAGUGGGAGCUGUUUUUCUUCUUGGAGCUUGAAACCACCGUAGGGAGAAAAUAAACACAGAUGCCCGGCCCUACGCACCUGUCAGAGUAUUGCUUCUUCCUGCUUCGAUAAUUGGAAAUCCCAGUCCAGGAAAUAUCAUUUUAUAGUCUACAGCAGAAAUACUGUAGCUUUUUGUUUUUCGAAGACUGAUAUUUUGGUUAUGGCAACAAUCUACUACAAGAUAACAAGCAGGCAAUCUGUCACAGCCAAGCUGUCAUGCUACAAUCUCACUAAUGAUCAAUCCUCAUGAGUGAUGUGAUAUUUAAUUCAUUCAUUCAAAUGUAUUUGUCUAUACAUUUUUAUAUAUAUUUUUUUUAAUUUUUGCCCUAUAUUUGCAUUGUCACAUAUUUUUGAUGAGCCUUGUUUUUCUGUCUGCUGUAUUUUCAUCAUUGACUUGAUGCCCAACUGCUCAGAGGUUCUCCAACGAACCUCAUGGGUACACCAGCCAGUAGUCCUCUGUAGUAGGAGGGACAAGAUCAUGAUAUUCAGUUUUUAGCCUGACUUGCUGCUCAUUUCAAGUCUGUUCUCUAAACAGUAGUGUUAUUCCCACAUUGCAUCAUAUAUUGAUAACCCAGCAACUGCAGCGUAUAGACAAUUUGUAAGAUCUUGUGGUUCAAACUAAACCUUUUAUUAUAUAUAUAUAUAUAUAUAUAUUUUAUUUAUUUAUUUUAUUUUUUUAAUACAUUUUGAGAGGUGAAAGCCAUUUACCUCCUGUUGUGUAAAUCUUUAACUAGCUUUUGGCUAUCUCUGCUUAUAAAACAGAUUUGUAAAAACUACAGUACUUUGCUCAUUGUUUCUCAUUAAGAUGUUGUCAUGGGAACUCAUUGAAGAGUGCUAAGCUGAAGAAUGUUUGUUUUGUUUUUGAGUGUAUGCUGGUGAGAGUUUAGAUAAAAAUCACAUUCACUGAAAUUUGUAAAGUGUACUGCUUAAGAACUAUUUGAAUUGUGCAAUUUGUAUUUAUCUUUAUUUACUAUCAUGUGCUGGAUAUAUUUAACAAUGCUUUUAGGCUUUCACAACCACUCUCCAACUCUAGAGUUAGUGGAUUUUUUUUGACUUGAGGACACUGGCCUAAAUAUUGAAUAAGGUAUGAUGCAUGAAAUAACCAAGAUAUAAAUAUAUGCGGUGAACCCAUUCCAUAUGGACUGCAAGGGGUUGGAUGCAGAAAGUACAGAAGACUGGUUUUGUUCACGAACUGGGCAGAACAGGUUUUAGGAAGACAUGGAAGUUGUGUUGGUAGUUGUGGGCAGAGCUUAGUUUAAUAAAGAAUUAAAUUGUAGAUAUUUUAUAGAAGUUGGAGUAGCCCUGUCCAUUUGAUUGGCAAGGGGUAUGGCAUACAUUAAAAGUGCUUGGAUGGGAUCAUGCAGUGAUAUUUCACUUGAUGUAUACAGCUAUUCAAACCACUGAUAAAACACCUGAGAAUGGAUUCUACAACCAAAGAUGGGCUUGUUGCAGAGCUCCCUGUACCCCGGCUGGGUACCUCUGCCAUAGAUCGCUUCCUAGAUGGAACCGAGGAAAACCCUUGGCGCUUCUGCUCCAUUCGCCGUGGCUUGACUGGGGUACUCCUGGAGCCUCUCUGUCCUGGAACAGCAUAGGGGACUAGCUCUAUUCCCUCUGAGGAACUGGAUGACACACAUUUCUGGGAGCUCUAGUCCUUACAAGGACUUUCUCCACCGAAUCCUCCAUGAGCUGGAACAAGGUGCUGAGCAGUGAUUAGCCCUUUCCCUUCCUAGUAACUAGACGACAGAUAGUUCUGGGAGUACAACUGAUUUUAUUAAGUCAAACACUGCUUUUUAUGCACAGACCCCAGCAAGGGGUCUCCACUGUAUUCAGUACAAGCCCCUCCCAGGAAUCUUUGGGCCUGGGAGAUAAUUGCGUUAACUUUUAGGUAAGCUAAUCUCCCAGGAACAGAGAGGCAAAAAACAUAAAAAUGCCCCAAAACAUCAUAAAAAUAUACAAGAACUUCACAAAUACAUCCCCAAAUAGCCAUGAUCUGAGCACCCAAGAUGUCCAAAUAGCGCUCAGAUCAAUGCAGUGUAGGGGAAACACCACAGUGUUAAAGUUGUUACCAGCCACACACGUGGUCCUAUGUCCAAAAUAGUUCCAGGGCAUUUGGUGCUUUUGCCGGUCAACUUUCAGGAGCUGCUGUGGCCGCAACACGGGGUGCUCCGCCUGGCUCUCUGGUAGCUUUUGUUAUCCUUAGUCUCUGGCACCUUCUCUCCAAAAAUCCCUCUGCUGGUGGUGGUUCAAAAUCCCGGACCAAGUUUUCUGGGAACCGCACGGUCACCUCAUGCCGAAAACUGUUCCAGAAUAUUUGCAGCUAAGUCCCGCUGAGGUGACCCACAAAGUCCUUAUGCUGAAAAUGGUUCAAUAGCAGUCGCAGGUAAGUCCCGCUGAGGACUAUUUGUGGGUUUGGUUCAUGCAAACGGCCACCAGGGAGCUAGCGUUCAGUUCCAUUCGCAUGAAAUGGGAAAGUGCUUAACCAGGGGCACCCAAGGAAAGCUACCAAUGGCGUCUGGGCAGGGUUGCAGACCUGGACCAUAGUCUGUGGGCAGGAGGCCAGCUUCCACACUCCUCCAGGAGUCUGUGGCAAACGUAGGUGGGAAGGAGCAUUUGUCACAGGAUUUAUUUGGGAUAUUUUAAUUGCAAUUUCCCACCAAAAAUGGUUUAAAGUCCUUUUAGUUCAUUUUUGUUAUUUAUCAAAGUAAAAUAAAGAUGGAUGCUAUAAAUCAGAGUAAGAAGUAAAACUGGUGUAGAAUGAAUGUUGCUGAUCUCAAAACUGAGCAUAAGCAGGCUAUCACUAUGCAGGUAAAACAAAAUGAACUAAAGCCAUUAAUUCUUAGAGUGCAGGGGGUUUAGACAUGGCUAAAAGUUUUUUUUUUUUGUUUUUUUUUUUUUAUUAUUUUGUUAUUUAUUUUUUAUUAAAGAGGUUUUAAACUAAACCUAGCAAUGCUGAAGAUUAAACAAUUUUACUGUGAUAUGUGAUUGGUUAUGCUACUUAUAGCUUGGCUCUAGCUUCAUGUCAUAGCUCUGAUAAUUAAUGAAGCAUCAGGUUGAAGGAAGGGGGCCCCUAAUGCAUACCAAUCACUCCGCAUGCUAUCCUUUUGUAGUGUCUUGCCCUUGCAGACAAAAUAUGCUAUUAUUGUCCGAACUGUGGGUUGAUUUUGCAUUUUUUUUGAAUUUCCAAAAAAUCCUUGGUUUAUAUUUGAAACAUUAGGUUUUAGGGUAGCAUUCUGUAUCUGGCUAUGUUUACAUAGCCGCUGCCCUGGUGCAUAUAUCCCUGGACAUUUAUUGGGGCAAAUGGGGAUUUAAAUUGCCCAGAACAUUUUCAGACUGGUGUGCAUAUAAUCUAUGUAAUACAUGUUGAAAUGGUAAAGGGGGAUAAAUAUAUUCCAUGAUGGAUCGCAGUUGGCUGAAAAGGACUGGUCUAUCAAUUUUUUUGUUUUUGUUUUUUCACUAGGAACAUUGACAAAAUUCUCAUGCAGAAUACGUUUUGUUCUUGUGUAAUAAUUGCAUUUAAUGUACCUGUUGCUUUGCAAGACAGGCAAUGUAAAGGUUUUAUCAACCCUUUAUCUUCUGAUUUUAAUGCCUGCUAAGUGUGUGUGAUGGUGGCUUCUCGAUAGAAUAAGGUUUAGGGUGGUUGGAGUAGAUGUAAAAAGAAUAGUUGUGUACACUGAGGGAAUUGGUUUGUCAUGGGUAUGUAGUUUCCUCAGCUGACUGGAUGAGAAGAAUCUCUGGAUUCUAACGGAAAUCUAAGUUUCUGACACCCCCACCUUUGGCAUGCAUCAGUGUUUGAGGUUUUUGUCAGGGUUGCUAGGUCUUACCUGGUUCUUCUGGCGUGCUCUCAAAAUGCGUUAUUUCAUUCGAACUACACAUUCACCAGACCAAAUCUGGCACACUCUGGUGUCACAGAUUGUGCUGAUUUUGCAUCCGCCAUGAAUCAUCUGCAACUAAACUACUUUUANNNNNNNNNNNNNNNNNNNNNNNNNNNNNNNNNNNNNNNNNNNNNNNNNNNNNNNNNNNNNNNNNNNNNNNNNNNNNNNNNNNNNNNNNNNNNNNNNNNNUCUACCAUACAUUUCGUUUCAUCCCCCUAGUUUAGAGUACUGGCAAUAGGGUCACAGGAUUCCCAAUAGGUAUUUACCCCGUCUUGGCUGUCGCCAUCAGUUAGUGGUCCCGCGAGGCCAACACCCCGCCUCAAACGCUUCGGAGGCAAACACCCAUCGGGCCACACGUUAGCUAGCCGCCUCGCAUGUUGCAAAGAGAGGGCCUCACCUGUCACUCCCUUCCCCUGUUUUCUGUCGUACAGUCACCGAGAGGCCUAAAACUCUGCCACUACGUCAAGUGGCCUCAAUAACCCCUCGCGCCAACGCAUAGAUAGAGCCUCUCAAGCCGCUUGGCAAUUAGUAGGGCCUCUCCUGUCACCAAACAAGCAUAAUACUUUCGCCAUCCGGCCUAGCUAGCCUGCCAGUACAAUUUGGUGGUUCUAUAUACUAAUUAUUGUUUUAUUUAUAGUAUGUCUCAGGAAGGGGUAGAGGAUUUCUCCCUGCCUAGCACCCCGGAUAGAGCUGUCACUCCCACACAAGGAGGAGAGCUAGCUAGUCCAGCAUCAAUUAGAUCCUGGACAAUCCCGCGCAUAACCACGGAAUUAAGGAGACGACAAAUCCCCAACCCUGCUAAAGCAAGGAAGGCAGAACUUUUCAAACUGCUAAGCACAUCAACUAAUAACAUGGAAGCCGGAGAAGGAUCUAGCCAGUCCAACCCAGGGGACAUACAUGCCAUGUUAUCCUCACUCAUGGCAUCCAUGGGCAAGGUCAACUCCAGGCUGGAGAGUCGGUCACUUGAGUCGGUACACGAUCCAACUGGGGAAGGAUUGAUACCGUCUUAUUUUGCAGACACUUUGCAGGUCUAAGAACACCAGCUUGUGCAUACUGCUCCUCCACAGCCCAUACUACUAAUUUUUGUCCCAACACGGCAGACGGACAUGCCUCCACACAAGGAACUAGUUCCUCUGGGGAUCCAGGGAAACUAUCCAAAGACAAAUCAAGUUUCUGGGCAAGUCCCAGAUAUGUAAUAAUUUCAAUGUUGGGUCUUGUAAUUACAGUGGAUGUAGACUAUUGCAUGUCUGUUCAAAAUGUUUAGGGCACAUGCAAAGACCAUGUGUCCAAAUAAAAUGUAUUCCAAGCCUUACCUUACGUCCAUUAAUAUGCUAGUAUUCACAGCAUUGAUGUCUCAGCACCCAUCUAGACACCUGGUAGAUUUUCUUAUUUCUGGUUUAACAGAAGGCUUCCACACAGGUAUCCUACACAUACCAGCUGGCACUCUGGAAUGCCCAAACCUACAAUCCGCCCAACACAACCCCACAGUGGUUGACACCCUCAUAAACCAAGAAGUGGAGGAGGGCUUUGUAUUGGGGCCUUUUAGAACUCCCCCAUUCACAGAAUGGCGCACCAACCCUAUUGGUAUUGUCACAGGGAAAUCUUCCCAAAAACAGAGACUCAUCAUUGACUUAUCGGCUCCCCACUCAUCGGCCAACCCCAGUCUUAAUUCCCUCAUACCCUCUGAGGAAUUCUCUCUGCAAUACACCACCAUAGAUCACGCCAUUACAGCCAUCAUACAAGCAGGGGUGGGAGCCUGGCUCAGUAAGACCGACAUUACUAACGCCUUCAAAUUACUCCCUAUCCACCCCACACUGUGGCACCUGCAUGGCAUCAAGUGGUCCGAGAACUACUAUUUUUUCUCCCGGUUAACUUUUGGGUCCAAAAGUAGCCCAGCUAUUUUCGACACAUUUGCCGAAGCACUAUGCUGGUUACUAUUGAACAUAGCCGGAUGCCCUACAGUAUUACAUUACUUGGACGAUUUCCUACUGGUCGAGGAGAAUACUGCACCUCCCACUAGCCUCAAAGCUACCACUAAGCUGUUUGAGCAACUAGGUGUACCCAUCUCCCCAAAGAAAACAGAAGGGCCAGACACGGUUAUCACUUUUCUGGGUAUCCAGUUAGACUCUGCCACAAUGCAAGCAAGCCUACCUUACGAAAAGAUAGACAAUAUUCUCACUUACAUAAACAACUACCUACAGCUCGGCACUUGCAACCGCAAAGAACUACAGUCCCUGCUGGGGUCACUAAAUUUUGCAAUGCGCAUCAUACCUCAAGGCCGCUCCUUUAUUUCACGACUAUUGCAUCUUUUCCCACUUUUUCUACAUGACACGCACAGGUUGUCCUUAGAUGCCCAAGCUACGGCAGAUCUAAACAUGUGGAAGAGGUUUUAACCACUUGGAAUGGUAAAAGUAUGUUCCUCCCUCAAUUGACUGAAUCAUCUCCUACCAUUUGGUCAGAUGCGGCAUCUACCACUGGUUUUGCAGCAAUUUUUGGGAACGAAUGGCUUUGGGGCAGCUGGCCUUCAGCAGUUCUGGAUUUGGAAGGUUUUUCCACUACCUCAGCUCUUUUUGAGAUCUACCCCAUAGUGGCGGCUGCCGUAGCGUGGGGUCAUUUAUGGGCUAAUACGCCAGUGCGUUGUUACUCAGACAACCAGGCGACCUGUCACAUCAUCAACAAAGGUCGUUCCAAAUCUCUUACGAUUAUGAGAUUUCUGAGGAAACUCACUUGGUUGGCAGCUUGUCAUAAUUUCUUCCUAUGUUGUUUCCAUGUGCCAGGUGUAUACAACACAGCUGCUGACAGUUUGUCUCGCUUUAAAUUUCAGGAGUUUCAUCAAGCACUCCCGUCAGCAGCACCCACAGCCACCAUCACUCCAACAUUUCAACAACUCAUACUGGACUAGACGUCAUCAUGCAGCAUAGCAGGACAUUGUCUCAGUUGGCACUUUCACACAAUACAAACAAAACAUACAACAGGGCUUUCACACUAUUCAAACGAUUCCUUCUGGAACAUAACAUCAUACAACCGUUUGUUAUGACAUCUUUUUUGGGGUUUGCUUCCUUUUGCCACCUUAAACUCAAAUUGUCAUAUAACACCAUCAAACUCUAUCUCACUGGCAUUCAACACCACAUGCUCAUCUUACACCCAAAUAACAACAGUUUCAUGGCCUCUCACCAAAUUAAGACCAUACUCAGAGGUAUUCAAAAAUCAGAACCCACACAUUUGGCCCAGAGGCUACCCAUAGAUAACCAUAUCUUCAAAGCUUUAUCUAACCUACUCGACCUGAAACCGUUUGACACUAAUACGAAUUCUAUCAUCAAAACAGCAAUAUACAUCGCUUUCUAUGGAUUUCUACGACCCAGAGAAUUCACUACGACCUCCACGACCCAAACCACUCCAUUCCUCCUCUAUUCCCACUUGACAAAACAUAUGGAUCAUUACAUCCUGUCUUUACCUCACUCCAAAACCAGCCAGCACAUACCUGUAAACAUUCCGUACUACCCCACGCACAACAGAUGGUGUCCCGUAAAAGUUCUUGAUGCCUACAUACAGCACCAUCACUUACUGCCCUCGCAACCGUUAUUACAACUACAAGGUGCAGUACUCACCACUACAACCUUCAUGACCUACGCCAGGUCCUUGCUCACACAACUGGGCCUCAACGCAAACAAUUACUCAGGACACUCCUUUCGUAUAGGAGCCGCGUCCACAGCCUCCAGUUUCAACGUCCCAACUCAUGUUAUCAAAACACUGGGGCGCUGGAAGUCAUCCGCUUACUCACGGUACAUACCGAACCCAGUACAAGAGUUAAGAGAUGCUUUCAUAAACAUGUCUGGUUGAUAAAUGUAUAUGUAUUGGUGGUCUGUUAAUAAAUUGGAUUACUUAAUUUUUGCCCUCUUCUUUCUCAGGCCUACCUCAUCGUCGGUUUCGGCACACCACAACCGACUUGCUCCUUUUAUCAUCCUACGCUUAUUCAUGGUAUUUUACACUGUACUAUCUUAAGCACCUAACACAAGUAUUAAGGCAAUUUGCCUGCAUUUGUGGGAGGUGCUGGUUUUCUACCCCUAGCCUACUUAAGGCACUCCCCUUGCCUGGCUCCUUACCGUUCGAGGUCAGCAUUGAAUGACCCUCCCACCACACCACUUUUAACAUUUAUUUUCCUUUCUAUUUCUUUUCCUGGGUGGGCCCUCUUCUUUCUCAGGCCUACCUCAUCGUCGGUUUCGGCACACCACAACCGACUUGCUCCUUUUAUCAUCCUACGCUUAUUCAUGGUAUUUCACACUGUACUAUCUUAAGCACCUAACACAAAUAUAUAUAUAUAUUUAUUUUUUAUUUUAUUUUUUUUAUUAUUAUUAUUAUUUUUUUUUUUUUUUUCUCCAACAUUACUAAAAACCUAUCUCACAUGUAACCCUGGCAUUAAAAUAUGUACUGCUAGAAUGUGGAAGCACUAUGUGGUAAGUGUUGUUACACUCACAAUAAACACUCUGUAUCUACCUUUAUUAUGAAUGGCGAGCUACUGAUUGGCUAGUGCGAUCAGCUGACACUCUAAGCCCCAUCAAAACAAAUACUUGUUUAGAUUGUUUUGAUCCACUGUAUUGAGCUACGGAAUUUGCUGGCGCUAUAUACAUAAUAAAAGUAAUUAGAUGGAAAAAAUGGAGCAGAGUGAGCCUUGUAAAAUUACCAACCGAGCAAGAGGAACCCCUACACUGCAUCACUGGGUCUAUGACAAACUUUUCAAAAACGGUUUAACCCAUUAAGGUAGGAGUGCACCUGGGAGCCUCUUGGUACCAUAGCAACUUGAUUUAGAUCAAGUUGUUAUGGUGACCAGUGUGUUUCUUUUAAUGAUGUGUAUAGCAGAGGUUGAACAAGUGAACGACUCCCAGAAAUUUUAAUUAUGACAUCACAUGUAGCUGCACCAAUUAAUUUAACUAAAGAGGAAAAUAUGAUUAGGAGUGAAGCGCUGAACAGGUGCACUAAUGGACCAAAACGUUUCAUUAUCAUUUUGAAAAUAUUUAACUGAAGACACAGGUUGUCUGGUGUAUUCAACCUCUAUCUAUGAUGAUGCCAUGUAGUAGUUUGUUAGGUCUACCUUUUUAUCUGGGCAGUAGUGAGGGUUAGGACUUUAGGAGUUAAAAAGGCGCUAAGGGGAAUGUUAAAAAAUUUUGAGUUUUUUUGUUGUUAAUGUUUCUUCCCUCUUCCUGAGGCUUAGCUUGGGCCAGGGAGGGAGAUCUGGUUCCAAGUCUGUUUGGAAAGGUACAGGGUCAAAUAUAUUGCUUGCACGUUAUUUAUUAUUUUUUUUUACUUUUACACAUUGAAACUUGAAGUGAUUUUCUGGGCCUGUAAGCUUUUGAGUGUCAGCCGGGAUACCCCCACUUACCAGUAUCCCUAUUUUUUGUGGGAGGGGGGAGGUCACGGGGACAAAUAUAUUGGACGUCCAUUUCAAAGUUGGAAAUUUGACAAAGUGAUUUUCUGGGCCUAUGUCGCCUUCAAGAGAGUAUGGCAACCUGGGUAAUAACAUUUCCCCCGGGAUUUUUUAAAAGUAGGCAACCCAGUUUAAUCAAAAUGGCAUAAUUUUAGAUGUUUGGUCUAGCCACUUUAACAGAAAUGCAGGAACCAUGUAACAGUUAUACUUUUGUUUGUGGUUUCUUUUUUUUUUUUUUUUUAUGCAUGAAUUCCACUUUCACAGGGAAUUUCAUAAUCCUGAUAUUGGUGCAAUAAAACAUCAGUUUUUUGCUUUAACAUUGUCUCCUGAUUAUAUGAGUACUUCAUGUACCAGUUUUGCAGGUUUUUAUCAUCACACAAACCAACUUUGAUCUGAGGCUUGAGAGGCAGAGAGAUAUGUGAUAGAUACUGUGUGAAAAUUUUGAAGAGUAAAAAAAAAAUAAAGCAAUUUGUAACCCUUCCAGUGCUGUCCACCGCAUUAACCAUGUGAUUUAUUUUUUUUUCCUUUGGGUGAAGUAAUAUGGUAAUUAAAUAAGAAAUAUAUUGGAUGCCCUUUUCAACUUGUAAAAUGUAUAGUGAUUUUCUGCUUUAUGUCCUCUUGGAGAGAGCAUUACACCAUAAGAACAGGGUGCUAUGUUCAGGCACAGCUAACAAAGCGUAUUUAGGACAGGCUAAGGUCAGAAAUCCCGUAGAAUCCAACAAGCGAACAAAGUCCCAGGCAGAGUGAUUUAAUUAAAGUUCAGGCCGGUAUGGUAGAAUUUGAAAUGGUGUUAUGCAGAGGGCAGGUAGAGAUGGGCAGGUAGAGAUGGGCAGGUAGGUUAGUAAUAGCUGGAGUCCUUCUGGAAUGUCUUCUUGCCCCAAAGAGUGUAGUGUGGUGUUUGCUACAUUUUUCUAAAGGGUGUGUGAGAUUUGAGAAGGGAAGGGUUUGCCACAAAGUCUUUGAAUAUCGGGGUCAAGAAUGCACAAGCAACUUACACCCUAAAUGGUAGUUAAUUAGGGAUAAACACACACUAGAAGGAUUUGGGAAUUGUUAUAGACAACAAAUUAGGCAGCAAUGUGCAAUGUCAAUCUGCAGUUGCUAAGGCCAGUAAGAUUUUGUCAUGUAUAAAUAGGGGCAUAAAUUCUCGCCUCUUUAUAAAUCGCUGGUAAGACCACACCUUGCAUAUGCUGUGCAAUUUUGUGCACAAGUUCUAAAGAAGGAUAUCAUGGCACUAGAAAGUGACGAGCUACAUAUUUGAUAAAAUAAAUGGUGCAUUUUAGUUACGAAGAAAGGUUAAAAAAUGUUUAAUCUCUUUGGUUUGGAAAAACUGCACCUCAAAGGGGAUAUGAUAACAUCAUACAAAUAUAUUCCAGCCAGUACAAACCAUUAUCUCGAAAUCUAUUCAUAAACAGGGCUAUACAUAGGACACAAGGCUGGAAAAAAAGGAGAUUUCAUCUAAGGCAAAGGUUUUUUAUUUUUUAUUUUAUUUUUACAGUAAGAGCAAUAAGGAUAUGUAAUUCUCUUCCUGAAGAGGUGGUUUUGUCAGAGUCCAUACAGAUGUUUAAACUGCAAUUGGAUAAAUACUUGCAAAAACAUAACAUACAGGGUUAUAAUUUAUAAUUAGUGCGGUAAUAGCUGCUUGAUCCACGGAGACAUCAAAAAAACCUAUGUGAGGAAGGCUGAACUUGAUGGACACAGGUCUCUUUUCAGCUUUGUAACUAUGUAAUCUCCUGAUUCCAAAGUAGGAUCGGAGGACUGAACAACAUCCGAACGUUCUAUGCCGGCCUUUAGGAACGCCUCUUAAGGACAGCAAAGGUUUUGUCUAAAUAGUCUGCUUUGUUUUAUAUUUUUUUAUAUUCAUGUAUUUUUUUAUUAUUUAUUUCCACCUGAAACCAUGAUGUUUUGCAUGAACAAACCUUAUUGAUGCCCCUUCCCUACCAGUAUGUGGGCAAAUAAUCUUAGUACUGAAUCUUCAAAUUGCCAACAUGCAAAGCCUUCCUGGACUAAAUUUAUGGUGUGGUGUAUGUUUUAUAUUCUUUUUUUUCCCCUUUAUGGUAUUGGUCAAACUGGGCAUUAAAUUAAAAAAAAAAUGUAGUGCAGAAACGGUUAAUCUAUUUAAAGUGGUCAUGGUUCCUGAAGUGUGUGUUACACAGUUACAGUAUGAAAUGCUACACAUAGUUUAACCCCUUUAACGGUCGUUGAGGCUAAUGUCUAUUCUGCUCAUGUUUUCAUGCACAGUGAGUCGUUGGUUAUUUAUUAUUUUUAUAUUAGUUGAUUGACGGCAGUCAGCUGAUGCUGUCAGCUAGUGAACGGCAACUGGAUAGACUUCAGGCUUCAGCACUCUUGGUCUAGAAUUCCAGAAGGGACCUGGGUAAGUGGGUAUCCCAUUCCCAGUAAACCAGGUCAUGUGCUACUUACAUCAUACCCACUACAGCAGUCUUAAGGCUGAGGGUUUCAUAUCCUGUGUUGCCCCUUCAAACAUUGAGGUCUGCCACCUCUUCCGAAGAUCCAAAUUAGAUAUGGACCUUAUCUCCUUAUUAUCUUAUUACUUUGUGUAAUAUAUGUAUAUUGGUUUAGUUAUGUUUCUAGAUUUCUAGUUUGUGUACAUUGAAGUAGACAAUAUGUAGAUGUUUAUUCAUGUAUUGUUCUUUCCACCCAACAGAUGACCAGAAAAAAGUCCAAGAAGAUUUUGAUAUAGAUAUGGAGGCUCCAGAAACAGAACGGGCAGCGGUGGCAAUACAGUCCCAGUUCAGAAAAUUCCAAAAGAAAAAGCAAGGAGCAGAUGACUCGUAGUACCUACCUCUUCCUCUAGGGAAUUUAAAUAAAUAAUAAAAGCCUAUCAGAAUAAAAGAGAAAUAUAGAAUGAUUUAUCAGGAAAUUAGGAAAAUCUAGGAUGCAUGUACAGAAGUUUCCAUUAUCUGUAGCUCCAUUAAGCGAACAAUAUAUCAUUGAGCACUUGGUGUGGUUGCUCACUGCAGUACAUUUAUUUAAAAAAAAAAAAAACAGUUUAACUUGUAACCUUCUCUUUUAUGUGAUGUUCUAAUAAAACAUGCUUACUAUAAGAACCGAUGGAAAA